rnacentral:rRNA from 1 species
UACGGGGGGGGCAAGCGUUGUUCGGAAUUACUGGGCGUAAAGGGCGCGUAGGCGGCCUUCUAAGUCGGACGUGAAAUCCCUCGGCUUAACCGAGGAACUGCGUCCGAUACUGAAAGGCUUGAAUCCGGGAGAGGGAUGUGGAAUUCCAGGUGUAGCGGUGAAAUGCGUAGAUAUCUGGAGGAACACCCGUGGCGAAGGCGGCUCUCUGGGACGGUACUGACGCGUGAGACGCGAAAGCGUGGGGAGCGAACGAGGA